UUGUGAUGUCUAUGAGUCUAUGAUCGAUACUGUCAAUCGGCAAAAUAAAAGAUACAUGAAAGUAGAAAAUCCAUAAAAAUAUUUAUAAAAAACAUUCUAAAUGUGGAAUAACGAAUAUAAUGAUGAAUCAGUUUGGAACAAGAACUACAGAAUACCAAAGAGAAAAACAGAGGAAAUGUAUAACCAGGACUAUAACACAGAAAAGCCAGUUUUGAAUAGAUCAUACUUUAAUUAUUGUAAUCAAUACAGUCAGUCUCAAUGGCACCAGAGAAUGCAGUAUUCACAAAACCCUGUGGAACCCAUCACCCAAAAUAUUUUCAAUACAUUAUCCAACAUCAAAGAAAAACCGAAAAAUCACCAGAAGAAUAUAUAUUUCAACCACAGCCUACGUGAUGGAGAGUUCGUCCUACUUCUGUCCUAGAAUGAGAAUUCAAACAACAUCAUAAUUAAUAAAAGUGAAGAAUAUUUCUGUGUUGAAAGUGAUAUUUUUGAAUAACCGAUUUAGAAUCACAUCAAUUUCAACAUGUUGUGCCCUCAAGAACCCAGCUGACGUGCUUGCGAGUUCAUCUGGCUAUCAGCCUGGAGUGAGAGUCCAUACAACACGAUAAUUUAUUAUCGUAAAUGUUAUUUUUCUGAUUUUUUCGUAUGAGAAAAUUCUCUAUUACUUGAAACAUGUACAUUCUCCACAAAAAUUGGAGUGUUUUGUGUCAGAUUUAGUCAAAGCUAUGUAUUUCCCACUCCCACUCGUGAAAUCCAUUAUUAUUUCAGUUCAGAAGAAAUAUUUCAGACUUAGCAUAAGUAUAAAUCCAGUACAAUACAUUACCCAUAUUGAUACAUUUGGUACUGUGUCAUAUUCUAUAAUUGUUCACUAAAUUACAUGAUAAUUGAAAGACGAAAAGCCAAUCCAAUGAAUACUUAGAGUUAUCCAGUCGGAUGAUCUUGUUCAGUAGUAGGUAUUUUGAGUAAGCCAUUGUUUUCAAUACCAACACGCGCCUCAAUUGAUGAAAGUUGAAACAUUUUCUGUUUGACGGACUCAAAAUAUUUUUGUUAAUUUAUCCAUCGUCUGUCUUGAAAGAGUUGGACAAAUUAUCUAUUAAUUGAAACAUAAAAAUUCUACACUAAAAUUGGAAUAUUGAGAUAAAUUCUGUCAAAAGUAUGCAUUUCACCCCUUCCUCUCAUAAAAUCUAGUAUUUUGGUUCAGAAGAAAUAUCCCUGUCAGCGCAAAAAUAUAAAUUGAGUACAUUACACAGCAUGCAACUACAAGAAGACCAAAUAUAAUUUUUGAUGUAUAGGUUAAAAAUUUCUAAGAAUAGUACAUAAUCGGCAAUAUGAUGAAUAUUUAGAGUAGGCUUGUAGGAAUGAGAUCAUACUCGGUAGCAGAUAAUUUACACAACCCUCAUAAGUGCCUCCACUGAUGUGAGUUUAUAUGUCUUCCGUCUGAUGAACUCAGUAUGUUUUUUUACUUUUGUCCUGAAAUGGUUGAUAUAUGUUGAGAGUUACAAAUUUAACUAUUCCAUAUCAAAAUUAACUAGGAAACAGGUUUAGAAACUUACUAGAUUUAAUUCAACCUCAAAGUGGUUUUUGUUUUCGUUUUUUGUAAAAAAGACAUCACUCUUGUCGAAACUGUAGUUUUCACAAUUAUUUUUCAUUAGUUUUUUUCCAACCAAGUAAUUAUAUUCUCUCAAUUCUA